rnacentral:rRNA from 1 species
UACGUAGGGGGCUAGCGUUGUCCGGAUUUAUUGGGCGUAAAGAGCGUGUAGGCGGCCAGGUAGGUCUGCUGUGAAAACUCGAGGCUCAACCUCGAGACGUCGGCGGAAACCAUCUGGCUAGAGUCCGGAAGAGGAGAGUGGAAUUCCUGGUGUAGCGGUGAAAUGCGCAGAUAUCAGGAGGAACUCCGGUGGCGAAGGCGAGGUGCUGGACCCUUUCUGACGCUGAGGCGCGAAAGCGUGGGGAGCGAACAGG